rnacentral:lncRNA from 1 species
CUGAUUUGGCGGGCCUUGGCUGCGGCGAUGCGUGCACGGCCGUUUUUGCCGUUUUCACCACUUUACCGCGUUAGUUGGUAAACCACUUUCCAGCUGAAGUAGUCGUCUUAACGACAAAACCUCAACGCGUACUUAAAGAGCCAGAAUCGCCGCGCCCGAACGCGGAUGAGCCAUUUAAAACAAGUUACAAACAUGUCCAUGACUCGUCCUGUGGGUUUCAAAUCUUCAAAACGGGCUUAUUUUCUCGAAGAGACAACAUUACUCUAGAAGUACACGUGCAGGAUUUGUGCAUAAGAUGUCUACUUUAGCUAGAAAGUGGGUUUCUAGGAACCACAAAAAAACAACAAACAACGGCCGUGCACGCAUCGCCGCAGCCAUGGCCCGCCAAAUCAGCGCCGUUUCCACCCCCUGG